rnacentral:misc_RNA from 1 species
GCCUGUUCGAGCGUCAUUUAAACCAUCAAGCCUAGCUUGGUCUUGGACGUGGUUGAGUGACCCGUCCGUAACCCGUUGGCGGUACAGUCCGGCUUCAAGCGUAGCAAAAAUCUCGCUUUAGGAGUCCGCGGCGGUACCCGCCAGGCAACAACAUUCCAAAGUUUGACCUCGGAUCAGGUGAGGAUACCCGCUGAACUUAA